rnacentral:rRNA from 1 species
UACGUAGGGUGCGAGCGUUACUCAGAAUUACUGGGCGUAAAGCGUGCGCAGGCGGUUCGCAAAGUCUGAUGUGAAAGCCCCGGGCUCAACCUGGGAACUGCAUUGGAAACUAACGGGCUCGAGUGUGGCAGAGGGGGGUGGAAUUCCACGUGUAGCAGUGAAAUGCGUAGAGAUGUGGAGGAAUACCGAUGGCGAAGGCAGCCUCCUGGGCCAACACUGACGCUCAUGCACGAAAGCGUGGGGAGCAAACAGG